rnacentral:rRNA from 1 species
GAGAAGCCUGCGAGUCGAAUGGGAUACUAAAUUUCCCAUGGCGAACUGCUCAGUAACACAUGAUCAACUUACCCUAUUGAGAAAGAUAACCUCGGGAAACUGAGGAUAAUAUUUCAUGAGUUGAAUUGGCUUGGAAAAGUUUUUCAACAAAAGGGAUAGGGAAAAUGGUCUCUAUCCGCUAUAGGAUAGGAUCGUGUUCGAUUAUGGUAGUUGGUGAGGUAACGGCUCACCAAGCCGAUAAUCGAUAGGGGCCGUGAGAGCGGGAGCCCCGAGAUGGGUACUGAGACAACGACCCAGGCCUUACGAGGCGCAGCAGGUACGAAACCUCCACAAUACACGAAAGUGUGAUGGGGUUACCAAAGUGUUCAUUAUUGAACUGUGGUAGGAGAGUAAUGUCCCCUACUAUAAAGGAGAGGGCAAGGCUGGUGCCAGCCGCCGCGGUAAAACCAGCUCUUCAAGUGGUCGGGAUAAUUAUUGGGCUUUAAAGUGUCCCGNAGCCCGGUUUGGUAAGCUCCUUGGGUUAAAAAUCGGGAUAGCCUUAAACUAAUCCUUGUUAUUGCUUAGGGAAUACCUGCUUAUUACUUACACGGGCGGGGA